rnacentral:rRNA from 1 species
ACGUUAGCGGCGGACGGGUGAGUAACACGUGGGUAACCUACCUAUAAGACUGGGAUAACUCCGGGAAACCGGGGCUAAUACCGGAUAAUACAUGAAACCGCAUGGUUUCAUGAUGAAAGACGGUUUUGCUGUCACUUAUAGAUGGACCCGCGGCGUAUUAGCUAGUUGGUAAGGUAACGGCUUACCAAGGCAACGAUACGUAGCCGACCUGAGAGGGUGAUCGGCCACACUGGAACUGAGACACGGUCCAGACUCCUACGGGAGGCAGCAGAG